rnacentral:misc_RNA from 1 species
UGCUCAUUUAUUUUAUUGAUAGUGUGAGGGCGCUUCAUGCGUUGAACGGAUUUAGCAAAAUGGCGGAGUAUCUUGCGUCGAUUUUUGGAACAGAAAAAGACAAGGUGAAUUGCUCUUUUUACUUUAAAAUUGGAGCAUGUCGUCAUGGAGAGAGAUGCUCGCGUCUGCACAACAAACCCACUUUCAGUCAGACUGUGCUGCUGCAAAACUUAUAUCUCAAUCCACAGAAUGCUGCCCUUACAGCAGAUGGAUCCCACAUCAUGGUUGAUGAUGUGGAAGCCCAACAGGAGUUUGAUGAUUUUUUUGAGGAGGUAUUUACCGAGUUGGAAGACAAGUAUGGUGAGAUUGAAGAGAUGAAUGUUUGCGACAACCUUGGUGAUCAUCUUGUGGGCAAUGUGUAUGUCAAGUUCCAUCGUGAGGAAGAUGCUGAUAAAGCUGUUGCUGACUUGAACAAUCGCUGGUUCAAUGGGCGACCAGUGAACGCAGAACUUUCUCCUGUCACUGACUUUAGAGAAGCAUGUUGUCGUCAGUAUGAAAUGGGGGAAUGUACAAGAGGUGGGUUCUGCAACUUCAUGCAUCUGAAGCCAAUUUCACGAGAAUUACGACGAGAAUUGUAUGGCCGUCGCAAGAAGUCACGGAGAUCCAGGUCUCGUUCGCGCAGUAAAAGUCGAAGCAGAGAACGUGGUGCUGAACGUGGUGCUGAACGUGGAGAGCGGGGCGACCGCGGUGGCGGCGGCGGCGGUGGUGGUGGUGGCGGUGGCGGCGGCGGCGGCGGCGGCGGCGACCGUGCACGACAUAGGUCACGCUCUCGCAGCAGGGAGAAGCGAAGAUCACGUUCUCGAGAUCGCCAUGGACGCUACUAAUUUUUCCUCCCCAUCAUGUCAUAUUUUUUUUGUCAGUUGUGGGAAAUGGCAACAGCCCUAAUGUUAGUUUGUUGUCAGACUACUUCCAACUUUCAGUUGGGACAUCUAUUCACUUAAGUGUGAGGCAGCAUUCAGAGCAUUUAAAUAAAAUUCAGAUAUACUGUUUGUAGUGGUGUAAGUAGAAAUUAAGGGGCUAGGCCAAGAUCUUUGUUUUGUGUCCAUUCUUAUUUCCUCCGCGUGAAACCUAUUCAGGUAGGGAAGUUUUGUAAACCCACAAGUGCUGUUUGAUCAUCAAGUUUCUAAAGAUUUGUUCACUCAUCUUCAGUUAUUUUUAUGGGAAUAAAUGUUGUGAAAGCAGAGAUUUUCUGUUCGCGCAAUUUUAAGUUGA